rnacentral:rRNA from 1 species
AACGUAGGAGACAAACGUUAUCCGGAGUUACUGGGCGUAAAGGGCGUGUAGGCGGUUUGUUAAGUCUGGCGUGAAAGCUCUCGGCUAAACCGGGAGAGGUCGUUGGAUACUGGCAAACUAGAGGAUGGUAGAGGCGUGUGGAAUUCCGGGUGUAGUGGUGAAAUGCGUAGAGAUGCGGAGGAACACCGAUGGCGAAGGCAGCCCCCUGGGCUGACACUGACGCUGAGGCACGAAAGCGUGGGGAGCAAACAGG